rnacentral:rRNA from 1 species
UGGGGAAUUUUGGACAAUGGGGGCAACCCUGAUCCAGCAAUGCCGCGUGUGUGAAGAAGGCCUUCGGGUUGUAAAGCACUUUUGUUCGGAACGAAACGGUUUGGGUUAAUACCCUAAGCUAAUGACGGUACCGGAAGAAUAAGCACCGGCUAACUACGUGCCAGCAGCCGCGGUAAUACGUAGGGUGCAAGCGUUAAUCGGAAUUACUGGGCGUAAAGCGUGCGCAGGCGGUUGUGCAAGACAGGUGUGAAAUCCCCGGGCUUAACCUGGGAAUUGCAUUUGUGACUGCACGGCUAGAGUGUGUUAGAGGGGGGUAGAAUUCCACGUGUAGCAGUGAAAUGCGUAGAGAUGUGGAGGAAUACCGAUGGCGAAGGCAGCCCCCUGGGAUAACACUGACGCUCAUGCACGAAAGCGUGGGGAGCAAACAG